rnacentral:rRNA from 1 species
UACAGAGGAUGCAAGCGUUAUCCGGAAUGAUUGGGCGUAAAGCGUCUGUAGGUGGCUUUUUAAGUCCGCCGUCAAAUCCCAGGGCUCAACUCUGGACAGGCGGUGGAAACUACCAAGCUGGAGUACGGUAGGGGCAGAGGGAAUUUCCGGUGGAGCGGUGAAAUGCGUAGAGAUCCGGAAGAACACCGGUGGCGAAGGCGGCCUGCUGGGCAGUAGCUGACGCUGAUGCGCGACAGCGUGGGGAGCAAACAGG